CCCAGGUCCGAACCAGGGAUCAAACCCAGGACCUUAUUGCUGUGAGGCAUUGGUGCUAACCACUGAGCCAUUGUGCUGCCAGCAAAAUAAGCUAAGUCAUCAGUCAUACAAAGUUCUUCAUGUUCAAAUCGUCAACUUUUCCACAAAACUGCAUGUUAAUCCAAAAAGAAGCUGGUCCAGAAACUAACGUCUCUCCUCUGCUCUGUCUGUACUUUAGUUGGUUUUUACCUUUGACCGUCACUGUGACCUCUGUGCUGGUGGAAAACCUCCUGAUGUCCUGCACCACAGACCAAGCGAUGCAGUACACUGCUACGGAUCGCUGACCUGCGGACCACCAAGAUGAGACUCAGAAGGAAGAUGGAGAGGAUUCCAGCCAGGUACAACAGAGGUUUCUGAGCGGCUGUAAGGACGUCUUGUCCCUGGGUCCUCUGGACACCAGGCUGUGGCUGAAGUCCUCCACGGCCCCUGAAGCACC